rnacentral:rRNA from 1 species
UAAUACAUCGGAACAUACCCUAGAGUGGGGAUAACGUAGCGAAAGUUACGCUAAUACCGCGUACGCACUAAGGUGGAAAGCAGGGGAUCGCAAGACCUUGCGCUCAUGGAGUGGCCGAUGUCAGAUUAGCUAGUUGGUGGGGUAAAGGCCUACCAAGGCGACGAUCUGUAGCUGGUCUGAGAGGACGACCAGCCACACUGGAACUGAGACACGGUCCAG